rnacentral:tRNA from 1 species
GCAUUAAUGGGGUAGUGGUAACCUGGGUCGUUGCCAUCUCGAGCAAAAAGCUCGACCCGCCGGGGGUUCGAUUCCCCCUUAAUGCA